CCCGGGGGGAUUGCCUUAUUAACGGCGAGUGAAGCGGCAAAAGCUCAAAUUUGAAAUCUGGUACCUUCGGUGCCCGAGUUGUAAUUUGGAGAGGGCAACUUUGGGGCCGUUCCUUGUCUAUGUUCCUUGGAACAGGACGUCAUAGAGGGUGAGAAUCCCGUGUGGCGAGGAGUGCGGUUCUUUGUAAAGUGCCUUCGAAGAGUCGAGUUGUUUGGGAAUGCAGCUCUAAGUGGGUGGUAAAUUCCAUCUAAAGCUAAAUAUUGGCGAGAGACCGAUAGCGAACAAGUACAGUGAUGGAAAGAUGAAAAGAACUUUGAAAAGAGAGUGAAAAAGUACGUGAAAUUGUUGAAAGGGAAGGGCAUUUGAUCAGACAUGGUGUUUUGUGCCCUCUGCUCCUUGUGGGUAGGGGAAUCUCGCAUUUCACUGGGCCAGCAUCAGUUUUGGUGGCAGGAUAAAUCCAUAGGAAUGUAGCUUGCCUCGGUAAGUAUUAUAGCCUGUGGGAAUACUGCCAGCUGGGACUGAGGACUGCGACGUAAGUCAAGGAUGCUGGCAUAAUGGUUAUAUGCCGCCCGUCUUGAAACACCGGAACCACA
rnacentral:rRNA from 1 species